GAAACUAGUAAAGUGGCGCACGGGUGAGUAACGCGUGGGUAAUCUACCUCCGAAUUGGGGAUAACAUUGCGAAAGCGAUGCUAAUACCGGAUAACAUCUCAAUAACUCCGGUCUUUGAGAUCAAAGAUGGCCUCUCCAUGGAAGCUAUUGUUUGGAGAUGAGCCCGCGUACCAUUAGCUUGUUGGUAGGGUAAUGGCCUACCAAGGCUACGAUGGUUAGCUGGUCUGAGAGGAUGAUCAGCCACACUGGAACUGACACACGGUCCAGACUCCUACGGGAGGCAGCAGUGAGGAAUUUUGCGCAAUGGGGGAAACCCUGACGCAGCAACGCCGCGUGAGUGAUGAAGGCUUUCGGGUCGUAAAGCUCUGUCAAGUGAGAAGAACCUGCCCUUUGCUAAUAUCACUGGGCACUGACGGUAUCACUGAAGGAAGCACCGGCUAACUCCGUGCCAGCAGCCGCGGUAAUACGGAGGGUGCAAGCGUUAUUCGGAAUCACUGGGCGUAAAGAGCUUGUAGGCGG
rnacentral:rRNA from 1 species